rnacentral:rRNA from 1 species
GCUUCUUUUUCCACCGGAGCUUGCUCCACCGGAAAAAGAAGAGUAGGCGAACGGGUGAGUAACACGUGGGUAACCUGCCCAUCAGAAGGGGAUAACACUUGGAAACAGGUGCUAAUACCGUAUAACAAUCGAAACCGCAUGGUUUUGAUUUGAAAGGCGCUUUCGGGUGUCGCUGAUGGAUGGACCCGCGGUGCAUUAGCUAGUUGGUGAGGUAACGGCUCACCAAGGCCACGAUGCAUAGCCGACCUGAGAGGGUGAUCGGCCACAUUGGGACUGAGACACGGCCCAAACUCCUACGGGAGGCAGCAGUAGGGAAUCUUCGGCAAUGGACGAAAGUCUGACCGAGCAACGCCGCGUGAGUGAAGAAGGUUUUCGGAUCGUAAAACUCUGUUGUUAGAGAAGAACAAGGAUGAGAGUAACUGUUCAUCCCUUGACGGUAUCUAACCAGAAAGCCACGGCUAACUACGUGCCAGCAGCCGCGGUAAUACGUAGGUGGCAAGCGUUGUCCGGAUUUAUUGGGCGUAAAGCGAGCGCAGGCGGUUUCUUAAGUCUGAUGUGAAAGCCCCCGGCUCAACCGGGGAGGGUCAUUGGAAACUGGGAGACUUGAGUGCAGAAGAGGAGAGUGGAAUUCCAUGUGUAGCGGUGAAAUGCGUAGAUAUAUGGAGGAACACCAGUGGCGAAGGCGGCUCUCUGGUCUGUAACUGACGCUGAGGCUCGAAAGCGUGGGGAGCAAACAGGAUUAGAUACCCUGGUAGUCCACGCCGUAAACGAUGAGUGCUAAGUGUUGGAGGGUUUCCGCCCUUCAGUGCUGCAGCUAACGCAUUAAGCACUCCGCCUGGGGAGUACGACCGCAAGGUUGAAACUCAAAGGAAU